UGGUAAUGAUAUUUGAACAAU
ensembl:piRNA 21ur-4411 ncRNA